rnacentral:rRNA from 1 species
GUGAGGAAUAUUGGUCAAUGGGGGCAACCCUGAACCAGCCAAGUCGCGUGAAGGAUGAAGGUCUUAUGGAUUGUAAACUUCUUUUACACGGGAAUAAAGUGGGGGACGUGUCCCCCUUUGCAUGUACCGUGUGAAUAAGGAUCGGCUAACUCCGUGCCAGCAGCCGCGGUAAUACGGAGGAUCCGAGCGUUAUCCGGAUUUAUUGGGUUUAAAGGGUGCGCAGGCGGGAUGUUAAGUCGGCGGUGAAAUUUUGCAGCUCAACUGUAAAAGUGCCUUCGAUACUGGCCUCCUUGAGUGUGGAUGAAGUAGGCGGAAUUUGUGGUGUAGCGGUGAAAUGCUUAGAUAUCACGAGGAACUCCGAUUGCGCAGGCAGCUUACUAAGCCACAACUGACGCUCAUGCACGAGGGCGUGGGGAUCAAACA